GAAUGUUACAAGUUCCCGAAAGGAUUUAUUUAGCGCUGGUUGAGAGCAUAUGUGAUGCUUCGAUCACCUAAAUAAAGAUGCCUUGUAACCGAAUAUAACUAGGGGGAAUACAUUAUG
rfam:Enterococcus sp. 9D6_DIV0238 scaffold00004, whole genome shotgun sequence.